CACUAGUCGAGUGACACUGCGCCGAAAAUGUACCGGGGCUAAACAUAUUACCGAAGCUGUGGAUUGUCCUUUGGACAAUGGUAGGAGAGCGUUCUAAGGGCGUUGAAGCAUGAUCGUAAGGACAUGUGGAGCGCUUAGAAGUGAGAAUGCCGGUGUGAGUAGCGAAAGACGGGUGAGAAUCCCGUCCACCGAUUGACUAAGGUUUCCAGAGGAAGGCUCGUCCGCUCUGGGUUAGUCGGGUCCUAAGCUGAGGCCGACAGGCGUAGGCGAUGGAUAACAGGUUGAUAUUCCUGUACCACCUAUA
rnacentral:rRNA from 1 species